AGACCCGAAACCCGGUGAUCUAGCCAUGGGCAGGUUGAAGGUUGGGUAACACUAACUGGAGGACCGAACCGACUAAUGUUGAAAAAUUAGCGGAUGACCUGUGGCUGGGGGUGAAAGGCCAAUCAAACCGGGAGAUAGCUGGUUCUCCCCGAAAGCUAUUUAGGUAGCGCCUCGUGAAUUCAUCUCCGGGGGUAGAGCACUGUUUCGGCUAGGGGGCCAUCCCGGCUUACCAACCCGAUGCAAACUGCGAAUACCGGAGAAUGUUAUCACGGGAGACACACGGCGGGUGCUAACGUCCGUCGUGAAGAGGGAAACAACCCAGACCGCCAGCUAAGGUCCCAAAGUCAUGGUUAAGUGGGAAACGAUGUGGGAAGGCCCAGACAGCCAGGAUGUUGGCUUAGAAGCAGCCAUCAUUUAAAGAAAGCGUAAUAGCUCACUGGUCGAGUCGGCCUGCGCGGAAGAUGUAACGGGGCUAAACCAUGCACCGAAGCUGCGGCAGCGACACUGUGUGUUGUUGGGUAGGGGAGCGUUCUGUAAGCC
rnacentral:rRNA from 3 species